rnacentral:rRNA from 1 species
AUUGAACGCUGGCGGCAUGCCUUACACAUGCAAGUCGAACGGCAGCGCGGGAGCAAUCCUGGCGGCGAGUGGCGAACGGGUGAGUAAUACAUCGGAACGUGCCCAAUCGUGGGGGAUAACGCGGCGAAAGCUGUGCUAAUACCGCAUACGAUCUACGGAUGAAAGCAGGGGAUCGCAAGACCUUGCGCGAAUGGAGCGGCCGAUGGCAGAUUAGGUAGUUGGUGAGGUAAAGGCUCACCAAGCCUUCGAUCUGUAGCUGGUCUGAGAGGACGACCAGCCACACUGGGACUGAGACACGGCCCAGACUCCUACGGGAGGCAGCAGUGGGGAAUUUUGGACAAUGGGCGAAAGCCUGAUCCAGCCAUGCCGCGUGCAGGAUGAAGGCCUUCGGGUUGUAAACUGCUUUUGUACGGAACGAAACGGUCUUUUCUAAUAAAGAAGGCUAAUGACGGUACCGGAAGAAUAAGCACCGGCUAACUACGUG